AUGGAAGGGGGCAAGGGCAACAGUGGGGGCAACAAUGGGAAGGGCAGGCCCGGGACAGUUAUCAUCCCACGGAGGAGUUUGCCUGGCGAGCAACAGGGUGUCAUCAGUGGAAACACUCCCAAAAACAGUGUUGCCCCUACAGAUGUCUCAGGUGUGGCUGGAGCUUCCAUGGUCUCAAGUUCAACUCUACAAGAGGGUACCAGUACAACAGUGGAGCAACCAAAACUAACCGGUUCUAGAAGGAAGCGUACAUCAGAUGUAUGGGAAAAUUUUAAGACAGAACUAAUCAAUGGGAAAUGGCAGGCAAUAUGCAACUGGUGUCAUAAGCCAUAUGCUGGAGAAUCAACCUCUGAUUUGUGGUCGGCUGGCCAUCAAAAGAGGGGCUAUAUGGCUGUAACUACACAUUAUAUUGAUGCUUCUUGGAAACUAAAGAGCUAG
rnacentral:rRNA from 1 species